rnacentral:rRNA from 1 species
UACGUAGGGCGCAAGCGUUGUCCGGAAUUAUUGGGCGUAAAGCGCACGCAGGUGGCUGGGUAAGUCGAUUGUGAAAGCCCUGGGCUUAACCUGGGAAUUGCAGUCGAUACUACUCAGCUAGAGUAUGGGAGAGGGUAGUGGAAUUCCCGGUGUAGCGGUGAAAUGCGUAGAUAUCGGGAGGAACAUCAGUGGCGAAGGCGGCUACCUGGCCCAAUACUGACACUCAGGUGCGACAGCGUGGGGAGCAAACAGG